rnacentral:rRNA from 1 species
UACAGAGGUCUCAAGCGUUGUUCGGAUUCAUUGGGCGUAAAGGGUGCGUAGGCGGCGCGGUAAGUCGGGUGUGAAAUCUUGGAGCUUAACUCCGAAACUGCAUUCGAUACUGCCGUGCUUGAGGACUGGAGAGGAGACUGGAAUUUACGGUGUAGCGGUGAAAUGCGUAGAUAUCGUAAGGAAGACCAGUGGCGAAGGCGGGUCUCUGGACGAG